rnacentral:rRNA from 1 species
GGUCUUGACAUCCCGGACGACCCUUUAACGGAAACGUAAGGGGGUGGCUUCCAUCUGGAAGAAUCUGGAGACAGGUGCUGCAUGGCUGUCGUCAGCUCGUGUCGUGAGAUGUUGGGUUAAGUCCCGCAACGAGCGCAACCCUUGCCUUUAGUUGCCAGCAGUUCGGCUGGGCACUCUAAAGGGACUGCCGGUGUUAAACCGGAGGAAGGUGGGGAUGACGUCAAGUCCUCAUGGCCUUUAUGACCAGGGCUACACACGUACUACAAUGGCCGAUACAAAGGGCAGCGACACUGCGAGGUGAAGCCAAUCCCGUAAAAUCGGUCUCAGUCCGGAUUGGAGUCUGCAACUCGACUCCAUGAAGUUGGAAUCGCUAGUAAUCGUGGAUCAGCAUGCCACGGUGAAUACGUUCCCGGGCCUU